ensembl:misc_RNA
UUGAAAACCCUGGAGACUGAAGUCUUCUUUAUUCCACAGAAAAGGUACAGCACAGGCAGCAAACCGUGCAAGCUUCCCACACGUUGCCCCACCGAUGCGCUUUAACCCUUAACUGGAGGGUAGCUCAGUCUCCCUGCCCGUUCAGUCCUUGGCCUCU